AAGAUACACUUUAUUGCAAGCAUUAAUUUAACUAUUGUGGAGAAACUGAAGCCGUGUAAUGCUGACUCAGGGCUUGGAGCACGGAAAUAUAUUCCAAAUACAGUAGGUGGGGGUGGUUUCUCCUGUUCCUCACUAGCCAAGUAAGGGCUCGGGGACUUGCAUGGGAUUUAGGUGAUUUGCAGAUGGACUAGGUUGUCACAAAGCAUAUGUGAAGGUAAACACCUUGGUGGAGGCUCUCUGAGCACGUCUGCCUCCACUAAAGUGGAGAUGCCCAAGGAACGUGGAUAGCUUGGGAGCUGUGCACAGGGUGGAGCAGUUCCACGGUCACUGUGCUAGAUACCUGGAAGCCACGUAAAUGCCUCUUGGAGGAGGGGCAGGAUUUGGCUCUAAACAUUAUGGAUCCCAGGUAGCUGGUCCUUUAAGGGAGUCCUGUGGCUAGGUUACCUGCCAGCUCAUGUGAGCCGGCAGGUAACCAGGAAGCCAGACCUGCUUGGUAAUAUAAGGGUACCUGGGCUCAAGUAAGGAAGGAGUUGAGGGGGUAGUAAGGUUGUGUGAGCAGUGCUAGAAGGAAGGCCUGGGCAGGAGCAAGCCUGAGCGUGUGGAAGGUUUGUGCUGGUUUGGCUAGCUGGGGCAGCAGCAGAGCUUGAUACCACAUCAGGUAAGGCCCUGUUCCCUGGUGUAAUGCAUCUACAACCACAGAGUGCUUUGGGCAUGCUGCUAUACUGUAUGCAAGUCACUAGGGAGUUAGUGCAAGUGUAGGCAGAGCCUUGUGCUCCAAAACAUGAGCCCCUUGAGCUAAAGGGAAAUCACAUGGCAAUCUUGUGGCAGUACAGGGUCCCCACUACCAAUGGAGGUGUUCUCAUUAUUGCUGCUAGAGCACAGAUGCACAUCAAUACUAGUAGUAAGCAAAUGAUUCAUGUUUGCUUUUUUUUAAACCCUCAGAUGCAUAAAGUGCUCCAGAGCACAGUUCACUGCCAGGGAUCUGGUCUGGAAGAGCUCACCAUGUGAUUAAAAAGUUAUAUGACUGAGGGUAAUAACUACAGAGAAGAGAAAGGAAUGAGGAAGGAGAGGCUUAUAAUAAACAAGAUCACAAGUUUGCUCAAUUAAGGCAUGUGCACAUCAAAAUGGCUCUGCAAAACAAACUCACUUCCUCAUUAGUGCUGACUUGGAAAGAGGAGCACCAGCUUCCUAAUUGCCAGCACCUGUCUGCAGCUCUUGGAGGAAAGCCCUGUGACCCACUACGCUCAGCCUUUCUUAGCACGUAGGAGCUGCUGGAAGCUCAGUCAACAGAAAACGGAGUGGCUUCAGGAUGGACGCAGAGCAGCACAAAGCAUCAGCAUGCAAUUUCAAAUAAAAAAGAA